AAACAAUUAUUCACACUACCAUCAAAGUUACGUAAUUAAAGAUUUCGAGUUCGAAUCAUCAAGUGCUAUAAUUAAAGAUUUUAAAUUCGACUCCUCUUAGCUAUCCGAAAACAAUGAUUGAUGUCGGAAUAAAUCAUAGGGUGCCCAUAAACUAUCCAAUGGACAUGGCUUCUUUGAGUCUAAUCUUAGCCAUGGCUUCCCUUUUCCACUCCAAUGUAAUAAGCUUACUGGCCCUGGAUGUAAAUCCCUACAUUGUCCUUCAAGAUUAUCACCACCAAGCCCAUGUUGGUUCCAU
rnacentral:misc_RNA from 1 species